GUUGAUUCGUUCAAAGAAAAUGAAAUGUACUGCUGAGUGUUCUGUGUCCCGGGUACAAAUCUGGAAAGGCGGAGAGUGGCUGUUUCCGAGUACAAACAGCUCUCACCCAGCCGCUGCUGUGCCCGCUGUAGGCAGGCCGCUGCAGACAGGGAAGAUGAAGCCUGGAGAGGGAAAGCAACUUGCAGGAGGCCCCUCCACGUUGAUAUCUGAAUGGAAGUAGAGCCUGCAUUUCCUGGGCCAUAAGAGCGGCUCUGGAUCCCAACACCUACUCACCAGCUGGGUCAUUUCAAACAACUUACUCACCUUCUCUGAGCCUCAGUUUCUCUACCUCAGGAAGACUAUCCACAGAAAAGCAACUCAUGGGUGGGCUUCCCUUUGAACAGCAGCCACUGAAGUCCUGGCCUUUGCAGAUGCACUUCCUCCACAGCCACUGCCUCCUUCUGUUCCUGCCGCUCUGGUGAAAUGGCUGCCUGAUUUCCAGGCCCAGACCAGGGCUGAUGUAUCUGCCUGUCACUGGGCAUCUAAUGGAUCAUUGGACAAAUUUGAUUUUCAAUAAAUCAGUCAUUUGAUGAAUUGAUAUUUGCUAA
rnacentral:lncRNA from 13 species